rnacentral:rRNA from 1 species
GUGGGCCGCUAUCGGAUUAUUGGGCGUAAGAGCUCGUAGGCGGUUUGUCGCGUCUGCCGUGAAAGUCCGGGGCUCAACUCCGGAUCUGCGGUGGGUACGGGCAGACUAGAGUGAUGUAGGGGAGACUGGAAUUCCUGGUGUAGCGGUGAAAUGCGCAGAUAUCAGGAGGAACACCGAUGGCGAAGGCAGGUCUCUGGGCAUUAACCGACGCUGAGGAGCGAAAGCAUGGGGAGCGAACAGGAUUAGAUACCCUGGUAGUCCAUGCCGUAAACGUUGGGCACUAGGUGUGGGGGACAUUCCACGUUUUCCGCGCCGUAGCUAACGCAUUAAGUGCCCCGCCUGGGGAGUACGGCCGCAAGGCUAAAACUCAAAGGAAUUGACGGGGGCCCGCACAAGCGGCGGAGCAUGCGGAUUAAUUCGAUGCAACGCGAAGAACCUUACCAAGGCUUGACAUGAACCGGUAAGACCUGGAAACAGGUCCCCCACUUGUGGCCGGUUUACAGGUGGUGCAUGGUUGUCGUCAGCUCGUGUCGUGAGAUGUUGGGUUAAGUCCCGCAACGAGCGCAACCCUCGUUCCAUGUUGCCAGCGCGUUAUGGCGGGGACUCAUGGGAGACUGCCGGGGUCAACUCGGAGGAAGGUGGGGACGACGUCAAAUCAUCAUGCCCCUUAUGUCUUGGGCUUCACGCAUGCUACAAUGGCCGGUACAAAGGGUUGCGAUACUGUGAGGUGGAGCUAAUCCCAAAAAGCCGGUCUCAGUUCGGAUUGGGGUCUGCAACUCGACCCCAUGAAGUCGGAGUCGCUAGUAAUCGCAGAUCAGCAACGCUGCGGUGAAUACGUUCCCGGGCCUUGUACACACCGCCCGUCAAGUCACGAAAGUGGUAACACCCGAAGCCGGUGGCCUAACCCCUUGUGGAGGGAGCUGUCGAAGGUGGGACUGGCGAUUGGGACUAAGUCUUACAAGGUACCCAAGACUGAGUCC